rnacentral:other from 1 species
CUGCUGCUGCGGUGUGCGUUAAACCAAAUAAUUCAACCGACAUAGUAGAAAAGGGAGUUCGGGUUCAGUAGUGUAGGGCAUGCCUUCUUUGAAAGGAAGUUCAAAGCUACUGACAGGGCACCCACCUUGCGAGAGGCGGGUGUGAAUUAGUUGGUUAGACGGCACCGCGGUAGUUUA